GCGCCUGUAGCUCAAAUGGAUAGAGCAACUGCCUUCUAAGCCGUAGGUUGGCCGUCCGAUUCGGCCCAGGCGCACCA
rnacentral:tRNA from 1 species